GAAAACUAAACUGCAUACUUGUUUAAAAAAAAAAAAGACAUAUUGUGAGAUUAAUCUGUCCCUGAUAAGAUAUUCCAAAUUCAAAUCUUUCUCUAAUCUUCCUCAAAAUCAAAUACUAAGCUAUAUUUACCAUAUCAAGAAAUAACGGAGUUUCUAAUAUCACAGAAACAAACUUAUGUUUCUCAUCUGUUUAUUCAUUUUUAGAAGCUGUGCAAUGAGUAAUAAUUGCCUAUGAAAACUGCCUGUGAAGAAUAUUGUCAGAAAUUCCAAACUGCUCCAGAGCGGUGGCAAGAAAGUCCAGAGAUUAUUAUUGGAUUAUCAAGCAAGAUGAAAUGGGAAAAUGGAUAGAACAUAAAGAAAAUCUUCUUGACAGUAAUAAAUAUAAGAACAUUUUUAAAUAUUGGACAAGAUGACCAAUAGAGGUUAUGGAUUAGAGGUCUUAGAAAUCUUUUUAAAAUAGGAGCAAUGACCAUCUGUCUUAAAUGGUUUGUGUCUUUACCUGCCUGGAGGCCAAACACUGAAUCAUUACCAAAUGUAUGGUUCUAUUAUCCCAGAGAUUGAUGUCAUUACCUCUGAAGUUUAAUGCAGGGGAAUGGGAC
rnacentral:lncRNA from 1 species